AUUGAACGCUGGCGGCAUGCUUUACACAUGCAAGUCGAACGGUAACAGGCCUUCGGGUGCUGACGAGUGGCGGACGGGUGAGUAAUGCAUCGGAACGUGCCCAGAGGUGGGGGAUAACGCAGCGAAAGCUGUGCUAAUACCGCAUGUGAUCUGAGGAUGAAAGCGGGGGACCAGGCAGCAAUGUUUGGCCUCGCGCCUUUGGAGCGGCCGAUGUCAGAUUAGGUAGGUGGUGGGGUAAAGGCCUACCAAGCCGACGAUCUGUAGCUGGUCUGAGAGGACGACCAGCCACACGGGGACUGAGACACGGCCCAGACUCCUACGGGAGGCAGCAGUGGGGAAUUUUGGACAAUGGGCGCAAGCCUGAUCCAGCAAUGCCGCGUGCGGGAAGAAGGCCUUCGGGUUGUAAACCGCUUUUGUACGGAACGAAAAGGCUCUGGCUAAUACCUGGGGCUGAUGACGGUACCGUAAGAAUAAGCACCGGCUAACUACGU
rnacentral:rRNA from 1 species